rnacentral:rRNA from 1 species
UACGUAGGGUGCGAGCGUUAAUCGGAAUUACUGGGCGUAAAGCGUGCGCAGGCGGUUCGUGAUGUCUGAUGUGAAAGCCCCGGGCUCAACCUGGGAAUUGCAUUGGAAACUAGCGGGCUGGAGUGUGGCAGAGGGGGGUGGAAUUCCACGUGUAGCAGUGAAAUGCGUAGAGAUGUGGAGGAACACCGAUGGCGAAGGCAGCCCCCUGGGCUAACACUGACGCUCAUGCACGAAAGCGUGGGGAG